UGAGGAAUAUUGGUCAAUGGGCGGGAGCCUGAACCAGCCAAGUAGCGUGAAGGAUGAAGGUUCUAUGGAUUGUAAACUUCUUUUACAGGGGAAUAAAGUUCACCACGUGUGGUGUUUUGUAUGUACCCUAUGAAUAAGGACCGGCUAACUCCGUGCCAGCAGCCGCGGUAAUACGGAGGGUCCAAGCGUUAUCCGGAUUUACUGGGUGUAAAGGGCGUGUAACCGGGAAGGCAAGUCAGGUGUGAAAUCUGGAGGCUCAACCUCCAAACUGCAUUUGAAACUGCUUUUCUUGAGUGUCGGAGAGGUAAUCGGAAUUCCUAGUGUAGCGGUGAAAUGCGUAGAUAUUAGGAGGAACACCAGUGGCGAAGGCGGCCUGCUGGGCUUUUACUGACGCUGAGGCUCGAAAGUGUGGGUAGCAAACA
rnacentral:rRNA from 1 species